UGGGGAAUAUUGCACAAUGGGCGAAAGCCUGAUGCAGCAACGCCGCGUGAGGGAAGACGGUUUUCGGAUUGUAAACCUCUGUUUUCGGUGACGAACAAAUGACGGUAACCGAGUAGGAAGCCACGGCUAACUACGUGCCAGCAGCCGCGGUAAUACGUAGGUGGCAAGCGUUAUCCGGAUUUACUGGGUGUAAAGGGCGUGUAGGCGGGACUGCAAGUCAGAUGUGAAAUACGGAGGCUUAACCUCCGAGCUGCAUUUGAAACUGCAAUUCUUGAGUGAUGGAGAGGUAAGCGGAAUUCCCAGUGUAGCGGUAAAAUGCGUAGAUAUUGGGAGGAACAC
rnacentral:rRNA from 1 species